UCUUUAAUACAUAUCUACCUUCCCUUCUUUCAACUAAUCCAUCGAAAUUUUGGAGCACUAUUCAAAUAAAAAAGAUAAAUAACAUAUCUCUUACAGAUACUGGUGGUUGCACAAUGAGCGAUGAAGAAUGUUGCAGGGUUCUAAAUGACACCUUUGCGAAAUCAUUUUCUGACUGCUGUACUGACACAGUCCCGUACAUGUGCAAAAAGGAUUUUUUUCCUAUGGAUCCACUUGUUGUUGACUUUGCGGGGAUUUUAAAGUUAAUUCAUAAUUUAAAACUAUCCUCUUCCUGUGGCGCGGACGAAAUUAAUUCCAAAUUUCUAAUAAAUACUGCUGUGUACUCCUCUGUGAUUUUUAUGUACCUUUUCACCCAGUCUAUUGAGUGCUCGACUUUGCCCGCAGAUUGGAAGGUGGGGAAGGUGGUGCCUCUGUUGAAAUCAGACUCCUUUCUGCCAAAAACCAGUGCCGAGUGGAACCACCUUCCCCCCUCCAUCGCCUCCAUUGAGGACGUGUCAUCCUUCAAGACUGCACUAACCGAUCAUAUCUUAAGCCUCCAAUAACUGAGUAUUGUUUGAACAUGUAUUCUAAUUAAUUUGUUGUAUUAUUGUGUUCUGUUUUUUACUACAUUUUUUGUUAUAUUACCCACCCCCUCUGUAACGCCUUUAUGUGCCCUGAGGGUAAUGUAAAUAAAUAAAUAAAUAAAUAAAUAA